UUAAAUCUGACAGCUGUCUUAAUAAUAUAGAACGGUCAUACAGGUUACAAUUACCUGAAAAGAAUAUAUGAUUAAGAUCAGCGGGAUCAGCUCCACAAAUACAUGCGGAACUGGCCACGCGAUUUUGUAGUUUCAGGUGUUCCGGUGUACAUACGUGACCCAAUCUCAUUCGAAUUAACAUACUGGUUGCAGGCUUUGGCAAAGAGAUUUUAGCAAACCAAGGUAUAUUUUAGGCAGUGCCAACAGGUCUUCAGCAACAUUCUUAAAUGGAAACAUGUCUCCAGAACUAAUGGCAUCACGAGCUAAGUCAUCCACCCUUUCAUUACCUUUAAUCCCUCUGUGUCCAGGGAUCCAGGCAAUGGAAACCGAGUAACCUUUAAGAUGACAUUUUUGAAGUAGACUACGGAUUUGAUAAAUAAUUGGGUUAUUAGAUUUAGAUUUGAAAGGAAAUUUAGAUAUUGAUUGAAGAGAACUUAAAGAGUCUGAAAAAAUGACUGUUUUUUUAAGAUGCAUUAUGAUGAUAAACUCUAAUGCUUUAAGGAUUCCAAAGCACUCACCACUAUACACAGAGGAUUCUGGAGGCAAUUUUAUCUUUUGGUAAAUAUUAGAUUGAAUGUGAAGCACACCAAUACCGACACAACCAUUGAUGGACAUCUUAGAAGCAUCUGUAUACAUAUGGUUAGCACCCUGAUAAUCAGUAUCAAUAAAACUCAGAAAUUGUUGAUUUUGAUCUAUAUCAUUCUUUGAUAUACCUAUAUCCAGGAGAACUGGUGGAACUAGUAUAAGAGACUCAUAUUCAUGCUGAAAAUGGGAAGUGAUGAAGAGCUAACAGUGGGAGCUGAAAUAGAUUUAAGUUUUUGAAAACUUUUGAUUAAGCAAGGAGGGCUCUUGUGUUUCCAAUAGUUGGAUGUACUUAUUUGAAGUAGAAGGUUAGACAAGAUAAUCCAGAGUUGGUGAUUAGAGAAUUGGGAGCAACGGAAAAUAAAUCUAUCACAAAGAUAUUGGCGUCGUAAAUGGAGCGGAGGCUCACAACACUCAACUUGCAUAGCAUUGAUAGGGCUUGAUUUCAUGGCACCACAAAUUAUUCUCAAGGCUUUAGAUUGAAUAUGAUCUAGUUUUUGGAAGCCAACGACAUAUCCAGGCUCUAACAAAAAUGUCCCAUAAUCUAAAAUGCUUCUUAUUAA